AUUGAACGCUGGCGGCAGGCCUAACACAUGCAAGUCGAACGAGUGGCGGACGGGUGUGUAAUGUCUGGGAAACUGCCCGAUGGAGGGGGAUAACUACUGGAAACGGUAGCUAAUACCGCAUACCAUCGGAUGUGCCCAGAUGGGAUUGGCUAGUAGGUGGGGUAACGGCUCACCUAGGCGACGAUCCCUAGCUGGUCUUAGAGGAUGACCUGCCACACUGGAAAUGAGACACGGUGCAAGAGCCUACGAGAGGCGGCAGGUGAGAAUAUUGCACAAUGGUCGAUGGCCUGAUGCAGCCAUGCCGCGUGUGUUAAGAAGGCCUUCGUGUGUUAAAGUACUUUCAGUGUUUAGGCGUUACUUGCAGAAGAAGCACCGGCUAACUCCGUGCCAGCCGCCGCGGUAAUUC
rnacentral:rRNA from 1 species